UACGUAGGGUGCGAGCGUUGUCCGGAAUUAUUGGGCGUAAAAAGCUCGUAGGCGGUCUGUCGCGUCGAAUGUGAAAACCCGGGGCUCAACUCCGGGCUUGCAUUCGAUACGGGCAGGCUAGAGUUCGGUAGGGGAGUCUGGAAUUCCUGGUGUAGCGGUGAAAUGCGCAGAUAUCAGGAGGAACACCGGUGGCGAAGGCGGGACUCUGGGCCGAUACUGACGCUGAGGAGCGAAAGCGUGGGGAGCGAACAGG
rnacentral:rRNA from 1 species